AGAUGGACACAGCAGCAGCACAUAAGAGCACACGCGUGGGGCUCCAGCCCGGCCACGGGGAGACCUUUUCUCAGCAAAGGGCAGCACUGCUCGCUUUGCUGGGGCAGCCCUCCCAGGAAGAUCCCAGAAGAGAUGGUCUGAGGUGUGUGAACACUGUGAAUGUCAUGGACAAAGCUCAGCGUGGGACCCCAUGGGACUUCAGGCCCUGAAAGCAGCAGAUCUCACCUGCAUUGGAGGAUGAGACGCCACAUGAAGAAGAAAGAAGACGCCACAGACAGCAGCGCAGUACCACCUUCCAGAGAUAGUCUCACUGUGACACCUAGUUUGGACUGCAAUGGCGCGAUCUUGGCUCACUGAAACCUCCGCUUCCCAGGUUCAAACGAUUCUCCUGCCUCAGCCUUCCGAGUAGCUGGGACUACAGGUGUGCACCACCAUGCCUGGCUAAUUUUUGUAGUUUUAGUAGAAAUGAGGUUUCGCCAUAUUGGCCAGGCUGUUCUUGAACUCCUGACCUUAAGUGAUCUGCCUGCUUUGGCCUCCCAAUGUGCUGGGAUUACAGGCUUCAACCACUGAGCCUGGCCUACUCCUUUGCUAUCUUAAUAAACUUGGUUUCAGCUUACUUUAUGGACUCGCCCUAAAUUCUUUCUUGUGCAAGGUCCAAGAACCUUCUCUUGGGGUCUGCAUCAGGACCCCUUUCUGCCCUUUCUGGUAACAGUACCAUAAUAACAAAUAUUAUCGAGCAUAUUUUCAUGUAAUUAUUUGCAACUUGUAUAUCUUCUUUGGUAGAGUGUCUGUUAGAAUAUUUUGUCUAUCUAAAAAUUGGGUUUGUUUUCUUAUUAUUGAAUUUUGAGAGUGUGUUAUAUGUUCUGGACACAAGCCCUUUAUCAGAGAUAUGGUUUGCAAAUAUUUUCUUCUAGUCUGUGACUUUUCUCUCUUAACAAUGUCUUUUGAAGAGCAGGUGUUUUAAAUUUUGAUGAAGUCAGAUGUAUCAAUUUAUGAUUUUAAUAAAUCAUGCUUUUAGCAUAGUAUUUAAGAUACUUAACCCAAGGUCACAAGAGUUUUCUUUUAGAAGUUUUAGUUUUAGGUUUUGCAUUUAGGUAUAUGAUCCAUUUUGAGUUAGUUUAUAUACAUUGUGCAAGGUAAGGACUGAGGUUUUUAAUUUUUGCAUAUAGAUUACCACUUGUGCCAACCUCACUGUUGUGAUGAUAUGAUAGAAAUCACUGUCUUUUCUCCACUGACUUGCUUUUGCAUCUUUGUAAAAAGUUGGUCAUGCCAAUGAAACUGACCCAAUUUUCCCAUAGAACUGAUGGGAAAAACUGUUUACAGUUUUGUUGUUGUUUUUUGUUUUUGUUUUUGUUUUUAAUGAACAUUGAAGUGGACUCUCCAGGUUUUAAAGCUUGAGAAACUUACAUUUGUCUUAUCUGAGUUUAUUUCUCAGGAAACCAGCUGUCAGGCCUCCCAGAUAGUAUCAGAAAGCUGAAGAUUUCCAGAUCGCUGCAUCCUAACAGCAAGGUGCCAGAACCCUGAUUCAACUACCUACUGCCUGUUGAGCAACUCCUACAUAAACUCCUAACUUUAUUGGUUACAGAGACAGAUUUUAGACUUGUCUCCCAUAUCCUGGCUGGCAUCACCAGCAAUAAAGCCUUUCUUCCUGGCAGUACUUGUUGUCUCAGUGAUUGGCUUUCUGUGUGGUGAGCAAUCAGACCUAAGCUGAAUCCCUGGCAUUCACCAACACAUAAAUGUGCAGUUCUGUUUCUGGACUCUCUCUUCUGCUUCAUUGAUCUGUUUUUCUAACUUUAUGCCAAAAUUGCACUAGUUUGAUUACUGUUCCUUUAUAAUAAGCUUUGAAAUAAUGUCAUAUUAGGCCUCCAACUUUGUUCUUCUUUUUGAAAACUGUUUUGGCUAUUUUAGGUCCUUGCAUUUCCAUAAAAGUAUUAGAAUCAGCUUAUCAAUUUCUCCAAAAAAAAAAAAAAAAGCCUACUGAGAUUUUGAUUGGGAUUGCACUGGAUUUAUAGACCAUUUUGGGGAGAACUGACAUCUUAACAAUAUUGAGUCUUCCUCCCAUGAACAAAGUAUAUUUCUUUAUUUGUUUAGGUCUUCUUUAAUUUUUCUCAACGAUGUUGUAUGGUUUUCAGUAUAUAGAUCUUUCAGAGUUUUGUCAGAUUAAUUCUUAAGUAUUUAAUAUUUUUGACCUAAUUGUAAAAGGUAUUAUUUCUUUCCGUU
rnacentral:lncRNA from 1 species